rnacentral:misc_RNA from 1 species
UGGUUCUGGCAUCGAUGAAGAACGCAGCGAAAUGCGAUAAGUAAUGCGAAUUGCAGAAUUUCCGUGAGUCAUCGAAUCUUUGAACGCACAUUGCGCCCACUGGCAUUCCGGUGGGCAUGCCUGUUCGAGCGUCAUUAUCCUCUCUCCACACCCCUCGGGUGGGACGUUGGACCGCGUUGUGGCUCGCGCCGCAACUGGUCUCAAAGACAAUGACGGCGUCCGUGGGACCCUCUUCGCAACGAGUCUUUCGGGGCACGCGGGGAGUUGCAAGGUCUGCGGGCACGGUCUGACACCUUUUAUUUUAUCAAGGUUGACCUCGGAUCAGGUAGGAAUACCCGCUGA